CCCCGCACAAUUGUGCGGGGUUUGAAUUCUGUAUUCCUAACCAAGGGGUCUGCUCGUG
rfam:Escherichia fergusonii B253 cont3.18, whole genome shotgun sequence.